rnacentral:rRNA from 1 species
UGGGGAAUAUUGGACAAUGGACCAAAAGUCUGAUCCAGCAAUUCUGUGUGCACGAAGAAGUUUUUCGGAAUGUAAAGUGCUUUCAGUUGGGAAGAAGUCAGUGACGGUACCAACAGAAGAAGCGACGGCUAAAUACGUGCCAGCAGCCGCGGUAAUACGUAUGUCGCAAGCGUUAUCCGGAUUUAUUGGGCGUAAAGCGCGUCUAGGCGGCUUAGUAAGUCUGAUGUGAAAAUGCGGGGCUCAACCCCGUAUUGCGUUGGAAACAUGCUAACUAGAGUACUGGAGAGGUAGGCGGAACUACAAGUGUAGAGGUGAAAUUCGUAGAUAUUUUGUAGGAAUUGCCGAUGGGGAAGCCAGCCUACUGGACAGAUACUGACGCUAAAGCGCGAAAGCGUGGGUAGCAAAACA